UGGACUUCAUCACAGCUGGGGCCUUUUGUGU
rnacentral:piRNA from 1 species